GUGAGGAAUAUUGGACAAUGGGCGCAAGCCUGAUCCAGCCAUGCCGCGUGCAGGAAGACGCAUCUAUGGUGUGUAAACUGCUUUUGUACGGGAAGAAACACUCCCUCGUGAGGGAGCUUGACGGUACCGUAAGAAUAAGGAUCGGCUAACUCCGUGCCAGCAGCCGCGGUAAUACGGAGGAUCCAAGCGUUAUCCGGAAUCAUUGGGUUUAAAGGGUCCGUAGGCGGUUUAAUAAGUCAGUGGUGAAAGCCCAUCGCUCAACGAUGGAACGGCCAUUGAUACUGUUAGACUUGAAUUACAAGGAAGUAACUAGAAUAUGUAGUGUAGCGGUGAAAUGCUUAGAUAUUACAUGGAAUACCAAUUGCGAAGGCAGGUUACUACUUGUGGAUUGACGCUGAUGGACGAAAGCGUGGGGAGCGAACAGGAUUAGAAACCCGAGUAGUC
rnacentral:rRNA from 1 species